rnacentral:rRNA from 1 species
CCUACGGGAGGCAGCAGUGAGGAAUAUUGGUCCAUGGACGAGAGUCUGAACCAGCCAAGUAGCGUGAAGGAUGACUGCCCUAUGGGUUGUAAACUUCUUUUAUAUGGGAAUAAAAUGUUCCACGUGUGGGAUUUUGUAUGUACCAUAUGAAUAAGGAUCGGCUAACUCCGUGCCAGCAGCCGCGGUAAUACGGAGGAUCCGAGCGUUAUCCGGAUUUAUUGGGUUUAAAGGGAGCGUAGGUGGAUUGUUAAGUCAGUUGUGAAAGUUUGCGGCUCAACCGUAAAAUUGCAGUUGAAACUGGCAGUCUUGAGUACAGUAGAGGUGGGCGGAAUUCGUGGUGUAGCGGUGAAAUGCUUAGAUAUCACGAAGAACUCCGAUUGCGAAGGCAGUUCACUGGACUGCAACUGACACUGAGGCUCGAAAGUGUGGGUAUCAAACAGGAUUAGAUACCCGUGUAGUC